UACAGAGGGUGCAAGCGUUAUUCGGAGUUACUGGGCGUAAAGGGCGCGUAGGCGGUCAUAUAAGUGAGAUGUGAAAUCCCUGGGCUUAACCUAGGAACUGCAUCUUAUACUGUGUGACUGGAGUACUGUAGAGGGUAGUGGAAUUUCCGGUGUAGCGGUGAAAUGCGUAGAGAUCGGAAGGAACACCAGUGGCGAAGGCGGCUACCUGGACAGAUACUGACGCUGAGGCGCGAGAGCGUGGGGAGCAAACGGG
rnacentral:rRNA from 1 species